GUCCGCUGCGCCCGUCCGUCUUUUACCGUGCGCGCUAAUCAGUGACCGGGGCUGGUUUCGAUUAUCUCACAGUCAGGUACCUGAAGUAGCGCGCGUGGUGGCUAGACGCAUUCAACGCUCUGCUA
rnacentral:pre_miRNA from 15 species